GUAGUCUCGCACAGAUGCAUAUCAAUAAGCGGAGGAAAAGAAACUAACAAGGAUUCCCUCAGUAACGGCGAGUGAAGCGGGAAGAGCUCAAAUUUGAAAUCUUGAAAGGUCACCUUUCACGAAUUGUAGUUUAAAGAAGUGUUUUCUGUUACGAUCGUAAUAUAAGUUCUUUGGAAUAGGACAUCACAGAGGGUGAGAAUCCCGUCUAUGAUUGCGAUUUGUAGCUUUGUGAUACACUUUCAAAGAGUCGGGUUGUUUGGGAAUGCAGCCCAAAACGGGAGGUAAAUUUCUUCUAAGGCUAAAUAUUGGCGAGAGACCGAUAGCGAACAAGUACCGUGAGGGAAAGAUGAAAAGAACUUUGAAAAGAGAGUUAAAUAGUACGUGAAAUUGUCAAAAGGGAAGCGUUUAACACCAGUGUUGUUUUCUGAAAAUCAACCUCUGUUAGCUUUAUGCAUGUUUGUUUAGACCUAAUCAGCUAUCUUGCAUGUUCUAUUGUUUGCAGUGGUGCACUUUUCAGUUUACAGGUCAACAUCAGUUUUUUUUACCGUAAAAAAGUUAAAGAAAGGUAGCUCAUGGCUCCGGUCGUGAGUGUUAUAGUCUUUUUCCUAUGCGGUAGGAGAGACUGAGGUCUGCAGUGUAGGCUAUUUAGCUAGAUACUCAGGUGCUAUGUGAUACCAUUUCAUAAACAACUUGUUGAUUAUGUUUUGUCUAUUGCAUACUCGCUUGUACUAUCAUACCUACGCUUAGGAUGUUGAGUCGUAGAGCACGCAG
rnacentral:rRNA from 1 species